UCUGGAAACCAUAGAGCUGUGGCACCACCUGAUCCCAUUCCGAACUCAGAAGUGAAACACAGUAUCGCCGAUGGUAGUUUGGGGUCUCCCCAUGCGAGAGUAGGUCAUUUCCAGGC
rnacentral:rRNA from 5 species